CAGAAUCUUUAUAAAUGGUCGGAUUGGAUUGCAAGUUUGCCGCGAAAAAGGUCAAACAGCAGAGCGCUCCAGGCAAGCAGUUGAAGAAUUAGCCGCCGUUCUCAGAUAUCCAAGAAAAACUCGUGGCCAAAAUCACAUGUAUGACAAGUGAAAGGCUAAAACUUGUUGGCUCUCUUUUUGUCUAUUUUCAUUGUUUAUAAUGUAUGUUUGAUCUUUCCAAACAGAUAAUUUGAGCAUGCCAAACAUGUUCGAUAACCUGAAGAUUAUGCUGCAGCAGAUUUUCCAGGGGCUUCUACCUCAUGCUUGAUUCCAUGAUGGAGUGAUUGAAAGGAAACAUAAGGCCAUGCUAUUAAAAUCUCAUGUAUUUUAGUUAGCAAUCUCUACUUUCAGUGAUGGUCAUACUACGGUUGAACAUAUUUAUACUGUAUCUAAACCAAAACCAGUGUGCUUAUAAGUUUGUUGAAUCAAAUUAUUAGAUAUUUGUUUGUACAAUUAUAUGUCUAUUAAGUGACAAUUAGGAUGAUGUAUUUGAAGGCUUUGCUUGGCAUGCAAAAGUGUUAUUGUUAUUGGUUUGAAA